CACUAUCGUUAACUGAAUACAUAGGUUAACGAGGCGAACCGGGGGAACUGAAACAUCUAAGUACCCCGAGGAAAAGAAAUCAACCGAGAUUCCCCCAGUAGCGGCGAGCGAACGGGGAGCAGCCCAGAGUCUGAAUCAGCUUGUGUGUUAGUGGAACGGUCUGGAAAGUCCGACGGUACAGGGUGAUAGUCCCGUACACCAAAAUGCACAGGUUGUGAACUCGAAGAGUAGGGCGGGACACGUGGUAUCCUGUCUGAAUAUGGGGGGACCAUCCUCCAAGGCUAAAUACUCCUGACUGACCGAUAGUGAACCAGUACCGUGAGGGAAAGGCGAAAAGAACCCCGGCGAGGGGAGUGAAAAAGAACCUGAAACCGUGUACGUACAAGCAGUGGGAGCACCUUCGGGUGUGACUGCGUACCUUUUGUAUAAUGGGUCAGCGACUUAUAUUCUGUAGCAAGGUUAACCGUAUAGGGGAGCCGCAGGGAAACCGAGUCUUAACUGGGCGUUAAGUUGCAGGGUAUAGACCCGAAACCCGGUGAUCUAGCCAUGGGCAGGUUGAAGGUUGGGUAACACUAACUGGAGGACCGAACCGACUAAUGUUGAAAAAUUAGCGGAUGACUUGUGGCUGGGGGUGAAAGGCCAAUCAAACCGGGAGAUAGCUGGUUCUCCCCGAAAGCUAUUUAGGUAGCGCCUCGUGAAUUCAUCUUCGGGGGUAGAGCACUGUUUCGGCUAGGGGGUCAUCCCGACUUACCAACCCGAUGCAAACUACGAAUACCGAAGAAUGUUAUCACGGGAGACACACGGCGGGUGCUAACGUCCGUCGUGAAGAGGGAAACAACCCAGACCGCCAGCUAAGGUCCCAAAGUCAUGGUUAAGUGGGAAACGAUGUGGGAAGGCACAGACAGCCAGGAUGUUGGCUUAGAAGCAGCCAUCAUUUAAAGAAAGCGUAAUAGCUCACUGGUCGAGUCGGCCUGCGCGGAAGAUGUAACGGGGCUAAACCAUGCACCGAAGCUGCGGCAGCGACACUAUGUGUUGUUGGGUAGGGGAGCGUUCUGUAAGCCUGCGAAGGUGUGCUGUGAGGCAUGCUGGAGGUAUCAGAAGUGCGAAUGCUGACAUAAGUAACGAUAAAGCGGGUGAAAAGCCCGCUCGCCGGAAGACCAAGGGUUCCUGUCCAACGUUAAUCGGGGCAGGGUGAGUCGACCCCUAAGGCGAGGCCGAAAGGCGUAGUCGAUGGGAAACAGGUUAAUAUUCCUGUACUUGGUGUUACUGCGAAGGGGGGACGGAGAAGGCUAUGUUAGCCGGGCGACGGUUGUCCCGGUUUAAGCAUGUAGGCUGGUUGUCCAGGCAAAUCCGGAUAAUCAAGGCUGAGGUGUGAUGACGAGGCACUACGGUGCUGAAGUAACAAAUGCCCUGCUUCCAGGAAAAGCCUCUAAGCAUCAGGUAACAUCAAAUCGUACCCCAAACCGACACAGGUGGUCAGGUAGAGAAUACCAAGGCGCUUGAGAGAACUCGGGUGAAGGAACUAGGCAAAAUGGUGCCGUAACUUCGGGAGAAGGCACGCUGGUGUGUAGGUGAAGUCCCUGCGGAUGGAGCUGAGACCAGUCGAAGAUACCAGCUGGCUGCAACUGUUUAUUAAAAACACAGCACUGUGCAAACACGAAAGUGGACGUAUACGGUGUGACGCCUGCCCGGUGCCGGAAGGUUAAUUGAUGGGGUUAUCCGUAAGGAGAAGCUCUUGAUCGAAGCCCCGGUAAACGGCGGCCGUAACUAUAACGGUCCUAAGGUAGCGAAAUUCCUUGUCGGGUAAGUUCCGACCUGCACGAAUGGCGUAAUGAUGGCCAGGCUGUCUCCACCCGAGACUCAGUGAAAUUGAACUCGCUGUGAAGAUGCAGUGUACCCGCGGCAAGACGGAAAGACCCCGUGAACCUUUACUAUAGCUUGACACUGAACAUUGAGCCUUGAUGUGUAGGAUAGGUGGGAGGCUUUGAAGCGUGGACGCCAGUCUGCGUGGAGCCAACCUUGAAAUACCACCCUUUAAUGUUUGAUGUUCUAACGUUGGCCCCUUACCGGGGUUGCGGACAGUGUCUGGUGGGUAGUUUGACUGGGGCGGUCUCCUCCCAAAGCGUAACGGAGGAGCACGAAGGUUAGCUAAUCCUGGUCGGACAUCAGGAGGUUAGUGCAAUGGCAUAAGCUAGCUUGACUGCGAGCGUGACGGCGCGAGCAGGUGCGAAAGCAGGUCAUAGUGAUCCGGUGGUUCUGAAUGGAAGGGCCAUCGCUCAACGGAUAAAAGGUACUCCGGGGAUAACAGGCUGAUACCGCCCAAGAGUUCAUAUCGACGGCGGUGUUUGGCACCUCGAUGUCGGCUCAUCACAUCCUGGGGCUGAAGUAGGUCCCAAGGGUAUGGCUGUUCGCCAUUUAAAGUGGUACGCGAGCUGGGUUUAGAACGUCGUGAGACAGUUCGGUCCCUAUCUGCCGUGGGCGCUGGAGAAUUGAGGGGGGCUGCUCCUAGUACGAGAGGACCGGAGUGGACGCAUCACUGGUGUUCGGGUUGUCAUGCCAAUGGCACUGCCCGGUAGCUAAAUGCGGAAGAGAUAAGUGCUGAAAGCAUCUAAGCACGAAACUUGCCCCGAGAUGAGUUCUCCCUGAGACUUUAAGUCUCCUGAAGGAACGUUAAAGACGAUGACGUUGAUAGGCCGGGUGUGUAAGCGCAGCGAUGCGUUGAGCUAACCGGUACUAAUGAACCGUGAGGCUUAACCUUACAACGCCGAAG
rnacentral:rRNA from 1 species